rnacentral:rRNA from 1 species
GCAUAUCAAUAAGCGGAGGAAAAGAAACCAACAGGGAUUGCCCCAGUAACGGCGAGUGAAGCGGCAACAGCUCAAAUUUGAAAUCUGGCCCCAGGCCCGAGUUGUAAUUUGCAGAGGAUGCUUUUGGCGCGGUGCCUUCCGAGUUCCCUGGAACGGGACGCCAUAGAGGGUGAGAGCCCCGUACGGUUGGACACCAAGCCUUUGUAAAGCUCCUUCGACGAGUCGAGUAGUUUGGGAAUGCUGCUCUAAAUGGGAGGUACAUUUCUUCUAAAGCUAAAUAUUGGCCAGAGACCGAUAGCGCACAAGUAGAGUGAUCGAAAGAUGAAAAGCACUUUGAAAAGAGGGUUAAACAGCACGUGAAAUUGUUAAAAGGGAAGCGCUUGUGACCAGACUUGCGUCCGGUGAAUCACCCAGCUCUCGCGGCUGGGGCACUUCGCCGGCACAGGCCAGCAUCAGCUUGCCGUCGGGGACAAAAGCUUCAGGAACGUGGCUCCUCUCGGGGAGUGUUAUAGCCUGUUGCACAAUACCCUUCGGCGGGCUGAGGUACGCGCUCCGCAAGGAUGCUGGCGUAAUGGUCAUCAGCGACCCGUCUUGAAACACGGACCAAGGAGUCAACCUUAUGUGCGAGUGUUUGGGUGUUAAACCCCUACGCGUAAUGAAAGUGAACGCAGGUGAGAGCUUCGGCGCAUCAUCGACCGAUCCUGAUGUUCUCGGAUGGAUUUGAGUAAGAGCAUAUAGGGUUGGACCCGAAAGAAGGUGAACUAUGCGUGUGUAGGGUGAAGCCAGAGGAAACUCUGGUGGAGGCUCGCAGCGGUUCUGACGUGCAAAUCGAUCGUCAAACAUGCGCAUGGGGGCGAAAGACUAAUCGAACCUUCUAGUAGCUGGUUUCCGC